rnacentral:tRNA from 1 species
UAGCCUAGUGAUUAAGGCUAUGGAUUGCCAAUCCGGAGACGGCGGGUUCGAUUCCCAU